CAUCGCCUCUUGCAUAACCACAGUAUAAGAGGUCCCGCCUGCCCAGUGACGACUUAGUUCAACGGCCGCGGUAUUUUGACCGUGCAAAGGUAGCGUAAUCACUUGUCUUUUAAAUGAAGACCUGUAUGAAUGGCAUAACGAGGGCUUAACUGUCUCCUUCCCCCGGUCAAUGAAAUUGAUCUCCCCGUGCAGAAGCGGGGAUAAAACCAUAAGACGAGAAGACCCUAUGGAGCUUUAGACACACAGGUGGCCCAUGUCAAAUAACCCCCGCUAAGGGCCUGAACUAAGUGGAACCUGCCUUGAUGUCUUCGGUUGGGGCGACCAUGGGGAAUACAAAACCCCCACGUGGAAGGGGAGCACACCCCUAAGUUACUUCUUCUCCCGCAAGCCAGAGCAACGGCUCUAACCAGCAGAAAUUCUGACCAAACUGAUCCGGUAAUACCGAUCAACGAACCAAGUUACCCUAGGGAUAACAGCGCAAUCCCCUUUUAGAGCCCAUAUCGACAAGGGGGUUUACGACCUCGAUGUUGGAUCAGGACAUCCUAAUGGUGCAGCCGCUAUUAAGGGUUCGUUUGUUCAACGAUUAAAGUCCUA
rnacentral:rRNA from 1 species